UACAGAGGUCCCAAGCGUUGUUCGGAUUCACUGGGCGUAAAGGGUGCGUAGGUGGCGGGGUAAGUUUGAUGUGAAAUCUCCGGGCUUAACCCGGAAACUGCAUUGAAUACUAUUCUGCUCGAGGUUUGGAGGGGGGACUGGAAUUCUCGGUGUAGCAGUGAAAUGCGUAGAUAUCGAGAGGUACACCAGUGGCGAAGGCGAGUCCCUGGACAACACCUGACACUGAGGCACGAAAGCUAGGGGAGCAAACAGG
rnacentral:rRNA from 1 species